UACGGUGGGGGCAAGCGUUGUUCGGAAUUACUGGGCGUAAAGGGCUCGUAGGCGGCCAACUAAGUCAGACGUGAAAUCCCUCGGCUUAACCGGGGAACUGCGUCUGAUACUGGAUGGCUUGAGGUUGGGAGAGGGAUGCGGAAUUCCAGGUGUAGCGGUGAAAUGCGCAGAUAUCAGGAGGAACACCGGUGGCGAAGGCGGGUCUCUGGGCCGUAACUGACGCUGAGGAGCGAAAGCGUGGGGAGCGAACAGG
rnacentral:rRNA from 1 species